GUGCAGCAGUCGCGAAAACUUCGCAAUGCGCGAAAGCGCGACGAGGGGAUUCCAAGUGCAUGCACUAAGUGUAUGCUUUUCGUGAGUUUAAAACGCUCACGGAAUAAGGGCUGGGUAAGACUGGUGCCAGCCGCCGCGGUAAUACCAGCGGCCCUAGUGGUGAUCGUUAUUAUUGGGCCUAAAGCGUCCGUAGCCGGUCCGGUAAAUCUCUGGGUAAAUCGUUGGGCUUAACUCAGCGAAUUCUGGGGAGACUGCUGGACUUGGGACCGGGAGAGGUCGGAGGUACUCCAGGGGUAGGGGUGAAAUCCUGUAAUCCUUGGGGGACCACCGGUGGCGAAGGCGUCCGACCAGAACGGGUCCGACGGUAGGGGACGAAGCCCUGGGGCGCGAACCGGAUUAGAUACCCCCGUA
rnacentral:rRNA from 1 species